UGGGGAAUAUUGCGCAAUGGACGAAAGUCUGACGCAGCGACGCCGCGUGUGGGAUGAAGGUCUUCGGAUUGUAAACCACUGUCGCGAGGGACGAAGCUCUGACGGUACCUCGAAAGGAAGCACCGGCUAACUCUGUGCCAGCAGCCGCGGUAAUACAGAGGGUGCGAGCGUUGUCCGGAAUCACUGGGCGUAAAGGGCUCGUAGGCGGCCAACUAAGUCAGACGUGAAAUCCCUCGGCUUAACCGGGGAACUGCGUCUGAUACUGGAUGGCUUGAAUCCGGGAGAGGGAUGUGGAAUUCCAGGUGUAGCGGUGAAAUGCGUAGAUAUCUGGAGGAACACCGGUGGCGAAGGCGGCAUCCUGGACCGGUAUUGACGCUGAGUGAGCGAAAGCCAGGGGAGCAAACGG
rnacentral:rRNA from 1 species